CCAGAUGAGCUAGUGUGGCCAGACCAACCCUACUCUGGGGGUGCUCUGUCAUUCUGGGUAAAACAUAAGUCACAGAACUCUGUUCAACAAAAGUCACAGGAUACUUUCUGGGCCUGCUCUCAAGAAGGAGGCUGGAAGGUUUAACACACUAAUAUGGGGGGUGGAGUGGAGAAAGGGGGAAGGGAACACCUGUUCAGGGAAGCCAUCCCCUGCCAAAAUGGAAACCCACAGUCAAGCACCAGGCAUUCCAGGUUUCUGAGGCUGGUGACAAAGCAGGCACCAGGACAGUAUUCCUGGGACAGAAUUCUCUCCCAUGACCAUGGAAGACUGCACAAGACUACCCAAAAGGGGCCUCGCUGGUGGCACAGGGGUUAAAGACACAGUGCAAUCAAGCUAUCACCAGCCACUGCAGCACGAAUUCGAUCACCGUCAGGCCAGCGAGUAACCUACAUGGCACAGCAAACCUCUCCUGUCUCGCCCGCUGCUCCCCUCAGCAGUGUUUCAGUAGAUCUGCCUAUUCUGCUCCCCACUCU